rnacentral:misc_RNA from 1 species
GGAAGGAUCAUUCAUAAUAAGUGUUUUAUGGCACUUUUUAAAUCCAUAUCCACCUCGUGUGCAAUGUUAAGAGGAACAAUUUAAGAGAUCGUAAAAAAAUCUUUCGUCUUGUUCUUUUUCAUAACAAACUCAUUUUUCUAACAUAUCGUCUGAAAACUAUUAUGAAUACUUAAUUCUAAAUAUAACUUUCAACAACGGAUCUCUUGGCUCUCGCAUCGAUGAAGAACGCAGCGAAAUGCGAUACGUAAUGUGAAUUGCAGAAUUCAGUGAAUCAUCGAAUCUUUGAACGCAUAUUGCGCUCUUUGGUAUUCCGAAGAGCAUGCUUGUUUGAGUAUCAGUAAACACCUCACAAUCAAUUUUUUUUAUUAAAAUCUUGAGAGUGGACUUGAGUGAUCCUUACUCUCCUCUGGAGGGGCAGGUUACUUGAAAUGCAGGUGCAGCUGGACUUACAACUGAGCUAUAAGCAUAUCUAUUUAGUCUCGUAAAACAGAUUAUUCAUUUUGCUAAAGCUACUCUAAGGUUGUAUUUCCAUAUGGCUGACUGAUGCAGGAUUCACAGAGUGGACGUCAAAACCCAUUUUGUAAACUCGAUCUCAAAUCAAGCAAGACUACCCGCUGAACUUAAGCAUAUCAAUAAGCGGAGGAAAAGAAACUAACAAGGAUUCCCCUAGUAACGGCGAGUGAAGCGGGAUGAGCUCAAAUUUAAAAUCUGACUGGUUUACUAGUCCGAAUUGUAGUUUAAAGAAAUGUUUUCGGGUGCAGCCUGGGUAUAAAUCCUUUGGAACAGGGUAUCAUAGAGGGUGAGAAUCCCGUCUUUGACUCGGUGCAUGCAACUAUGUGAUACAUUUUCAAAGAGUCGAGUUGUUUGGGAAUGCAGCUCAAAAUGGGUGGUAAAUUUCAUCUAAAGCUAAAUAUUGGCGAGAGACCGAUAGCGAACAAGUACCGUGAGGGAAAGAUGAAAAGAACUUUGAAAAGAGAGUUAAACAGUGCGUGAAAUUGUUGAAAGGGAAACGCUUGACACCAGUCAUGCGGGUGAGAAAUCAGUCUAUUGUAGGCUAGAGUUGUAGUAGUUCAGACCGCAAGGCUGGCUGCUGCUUCAUCUGGUUUGGAAUGGAUGCACUUUCUCAUUUGCAGGUCAACAUCAGUUUUGCUUGUCGGAUAAAACUUUGAGAGAAUGUAGUGACUUUGGUCAUGUUAUAGCUCUGAAGCGAUACGGCGGGUGAGACUGAGGUUCGCAGUGUGUGCUCUCGGGCAAGGAUGCAGGGGUGCUAUGAAAUUGUUCAGGGUAAACUGUUUACAUUUUGCCUUGUGUCUUUUUUAUACUCGCUUCUUUCAUCUCUUCCACACUUAAGAUGUUGACUUAAUGGUUUUAAUCGACCCGUCUUGAAACACGGACCAAGGAGUCUAACAUAUAUGCAAGUCUUUGGGUGUUAAACCCAUAGGCACAAUGAAAGUAAACGUAGGUGCCAUCCGCAAGGUGCAGCAUCGACCGAUCUUGAUAUUUUUGGAUAGAUUUGAGUAAGAGCAUAUAUGCUGGGACCCGAAAGAUGGUGAACUAUGCCUGAAUAGGGUGAAGCCAGAGGAAACUCUGGUGGAGGCUCGUAGCGAUUCUGACGUGCAAAUCGAUCGUCAAAUUUGGGUAUAGGGGCGAAAGACUAAUCGAACCAUCUAGUAGCUGGUUCCUGC